CUCGUCAGCCACCUCCUCUGCCUGCCACACCUGCCAGCAAUCAGCCUCAUCUCUGACAGUACUUCUACCCCGGUUCUCCACUCAACCCCCGCUUGAUCAUUGUUGUUCCUUACCCGGUGCCACUUCACCACUCAAGCUUGUUCACUCACCCCUGUUCUGUCAGCUGGGCUCGCCACCCUGCCCUCUCCCCUUGGACCUCUUCCAUGGCGUCCUCCUGGCUCCUCCCCGUGCCUCCUUACUUCCUCGGUCCCCAGUGCCCUCGGUUCCCUGUGCCCAUGUUUCCCCGGCGUCCACCUCUACCUCCCUUUCCACUCCCUCAACCCCUUUUCCCCUUCAAUAAAACCUGUUCACCUUG